UCGGGUAUGGUGUAACGGCUAACAUUGCCGCCUCUCAUCCAGUGCUUUGAAUGGCACGCGGCAGCUCGGGGUUCGAUUCCCCGUACCCGAA